CCGGGGUGGGGGUGCCAGUCUGCCCGGAGUCGCCCGCGGCUGGUACCCCGGGUCCCACCCCGCAGCGGACAACAGCCGCUGUUUUCCUGACAGCAGCUGAGCUGGGGUUCACCCGGGGCAGCCGGCUGCUCCCACUUCCGUCCUCUGCCGCCCUGACCCCCAGGAGGAUGAGCCGGUGGGGGCGGGUAGGGCAGCCCUGGGGGGCUGGGGGGGAUCGAGGGGAGGCAGGGCUCAGAGGUGGGAGGGCUGGGGGGAUCCCAGCCCAGGAGAGGGGCCAUGGAGGGCUGUGGGGUCUCCCCGUACCCCCAGCCCGUGUACCCUUUAGGGAGUGCCUUCUUCUAUCCCGCUGCCAUGAGCCGCUUUGAAAGAGGCUCCCCGCAGACCCCACAGACCCCACAGACCCCGCAGACAAGCAGGCCGAGCCCCCAACCCAGCCACCGCGGGGGGAAGUGGGAACGCGCAGGGGGGCCAGGCCGGGCAGGGCGCGGGAAGGCGGGAAGGCGGGAAAGGAGGGGGCGCGUGGGGUGCCGAGGAGUGGGAGGAGGGGCCGGACUCGGGGUGCCCUCGGGGGUGGCCCCUCUGGACCGACUCGGCAUGUGGACGAGCCGUGUGGUGCCGGGGAGGGCGGUGCCCAGGGUGGCUCCGGGGUUUGGGCCUGGGCAGCUGGGGCACUGUGGGGACGUGUGUCAGGACGGACAGACGGCCGGGGCACUGCCCCGGGGGAGGGCUGCGUCUCGGGGUUUGGGUCAGGCCGGGGUGGGAGUGAAGGGGGGCCCUCCGCCCGGCUCCCCGCUGGCAGGCCGACCCCUCCCAAUGGGGGUACCCCUCUAACUGCAGAUCACUCCCUGGUGACUUUCAUGAACCCACAAAAGUGAUACCUAACUUGGUGUAGAAAAUUCAGACCCCACUGAGGGUGCGGUUGAAGUGGGGGGCUGACUCGUGGGUGGGGGGCCCCCACGUCCUCCUGCCACCCCAUCAGGGAAGUGAUGGGCUGGGAGGGUCCCGCGAGGGCAGCGUCGGGGGUCCCGUCGCCCAGGAGACUGGGCCAGGCCUCCGUGGGGGCCCCGGGGGUCUGGGGUUCCCGCCCCAUCCAGGCGCUUUGGGGGCUCCUCCCUGCGGGGCCCCGCCCCUGUCGCCCCUACGGGCCUGUUUCCUUCCGGGAAACCUCUCCCGAGGGCAGGAGCUGCGCCACGGGCCUGAGCAUCCGCGCGAAGCGACCCUGUAGCCAAAUGCUCCCCAAGAAGGCAGCGGCGACUGCGCGGGGGACCCUGGUCGCCACCGUCGGUUGCGAUUCGCUCCGCCCCGGGACGCAGGACGCGCAGGCCCCGACCUCCGCCUAGACCGCGCUUCCCGCCCCAGGCCCGCGGGGUCCCCGGAGGGGCUGACCUGCGCCCAGGGCGCUCCCCUCCCGCCCGCCCCUCGGAGCAAGGGCAGGGCCCACCUGGGGAGCACCUGUGGCGUCGGGGCGAGGGGGGCCUGGCAGCGCCCCCACCGCCCACUCAUGCGGCUGCAGGGGGGGCGCCCGCAGAGCCGUGUGGCAGCUCAGGGUCGCGGGAGACGCGCCUUGGGCAGGGGCAGCCUGAUGCCGUCCCCUGGGAGCCUCCCCCAGAGGGAUCCCGCUGGAACGGCAAGGACGGGGCUCUGAGGAGUUGGGGCCCACACCCCGGGGGAAGGCCCUCGGUCCGUGACAGUGAGUGCUUUGAGGGGCUGCCCGUCGAGGAGGGGUGCCGGGGAGGCCCCGAGGUGCUCAGCCUUCGGGUCCCUUCAGGCCUCCCGGUCACCCCUGUACCGGCUGGAACAGGGGGGCAGCAUCCCCAGGCCCUGAGCCCAUCCCCCAGUCACCCCACGUAUGACAACCUGGUCCCAAGGAGUGGGCUGGACUUGGGGUGCAUCUGAGCACAACAGUGAGGAGCAAGGCCGGGCGUAGGCCCAGGGGUGUCUGGGGUGUGCCUGGGGGUGACCCUGUCUGAGCCCUUGGUGUGGGGCUCCCAGAAGAGACCCAGGCAGGUGGGGAGUGAGGAGGGAGACGGGGAAGGGGGACACCCACGAGGAUGGCAGGGCCUCUGAGAGCCAGUGCGGCUGGGAGGGGUCGAGGGGCCGGGGCAUCUGUUGGGGGGACAAGGCCCAGUCCUCUCAGCUCAGGAGAACCCCGAGGGACCGUCCCAGCUUCAGGGCACCCUGCGGGACCCGCUGGGGACUUCACCCAAACUGCCUCCCAACCAGCCCCCCAAGCGCGUCCUGCCGCGCCCCCCCGGCCCUGCCCCGUCCUCCCCCCACCCACCGGGCCCUGUUUGGUCCUCCCAUCACCCCGAACCCCCGCCCCAUCCUGCUCUGCCCCAUCCCCGUCUCCCCACCUGGUCCCCAGAGGCCGAGGCGGGGAAACUCCAGCCGUGGUGAGGAGCGCGGACACGGACACAGAGCUGAAGGCGACACAGAUACCGGAGACCCCGAGAAUUGCCAGGGCUCCCCUGCUUGGGGGUCUUCUGGGGCGUUAUGGGGGAUGCUGGCCAAGGAUAGCCACUGACCUUGAGCCUGCAGUCACCCACUGGCCAUUUCCCCCACCCCAGACACACGCAUUGAGGGCCACGCACCUAAAGGCCCAAAGGCACAAGGCCGGGGGUCCCGGUCUGACGGCGACUGAAGGCAGAUGGACCCUGGAGGAUGACCUCAGGGCCCACCCAUGGCGGAGCCUGGGCAGAGACGCCCACCGUGGUACUGCUGGCAGAGAUGACGCGCUCCAGGACCGGCUGCAGCGUCCUUCCCACCGGGCAGGGAGGAUGGGGAGCAGCUCCCACCCCCUCAGGACCGGGACCAAAGGAGGCCUCUUGAGACUGGGAAGCCCCCUGGGGCGGGGGCGAAGGCAGGACAAAGAGGCUGGCUGACCCAUUACAGACACCCAGGCUCAGAGCCCUGAGCUUCCUGGCAGCCAGGGAGAGAAGAGAAACCAGGGCUGUCCACAGGGGUGAGAACCGGGGGGACGAAGGGGCUGUGGCCUUUGGGACCCCCCCACAGACACACAGGGUCCUGGUCUAAGGCCAGCGGCACCAACUCAACCCCCUUCCCCCCAGGACCCCUUCCCAGGGCACAAACCUGGAAGCCCACCUUGGCGCAGACACUGGGCCAGCGGGAGCCUCGCGGGCCGAGGCUGGGGCUGAGACCACUGCCAAUGCCACGGCCCAGGGCCUGGGGAUGGGCCCGUCCCCCCAGCGGCUCCCCACGGGCCCGCCUCGUACCUGGCAAUGCUUCCUUCCUGGAUGGCGGACAGACCUGGGCUCAGCCCCGAGAAACAGCCUGUCCCCCCGGGGCAGCCCCACCUCUCAGUUCCUCCAAACGUCACCACACGGGCCUGUGGGGACUUCGCUUGUCCUCCACACAAGAUGGGGAAUCCCCGGCGAGGUGGGCACGGCCAGGGACACCCCUCUCCCCAGCCUCGCCCAGCACCCCUUCCAGGGCAGCCGGACCCCAGACCACAGAGAGGAGGGGCCCCGGGCUGACCACCACGCCUGAGCCGAGCUCUGUUGGUCCUGCUGGCCUAGGCCUGGGCACAUCCACCACGCGCCCCCAUGCACGGGCCACGCGGAGCUCACUCGCACCCCCACACCCCGACACGCCGAGGGGAGCGGCCCCGGAGCGCUGUCCUCUGCCACCCGGCGGCGACCGUGUGAAACAAGCGCACAGCAGGUUCAGAGCGUCUGCUCUCCGGCGAGACGACCCUCACCUGCUCCUGAAACCUCCAGUGGCCAAUUUUAUUAGAAAGAAGGUAUCAAAAUAAAUGAAUCUGUUU